rnacentral:rRNA from 1 species
UGCCUGAUGGAGGGGGAUAACUACUGGAAACGGUAGCUAAUACCGCAAAACGUCGCAAGACCAAAGAGGGGGACCUUCGGGCCUCUUGCCAUCGGAUGUGCCCAGAUGGGAUUAGCUAGUGGGGGGGGUAACGGCUCACCUAGGCAACGAUCCCUAGCUGGUCUGAGAGGAUGACCACCCACACUGGAACUGACACACGGUCCAAACUCCUACGGGAGGCAGCAGUGGGAAAUAUUGCACAAUGGGCGCAAGCCUGAUGCACCCAUGCCGCGUGUAUAAAGAAGGCCUUCGGGUUGUAAAGUACUUUCAGCGGGGAGGAAGGGAGUAAAGUUAAUACCUUUGCUCAUUGACUUUCCCCGCAAAAAAAGCACCGGCUAACUCCGUGCCAGCACCCGCGGUAAUACGGAGGGUGCAAGCGUUAAUCGGAAUUACUGGGCGUAAAGCGCACGCAGGCGGUUUGUUAAGUCAUAUGUGAAAUCCCCGGGCUCAACCUGGGAACUGCAUCUGAUACUGGCAAGCUUGAGUCUCGU